rnacentral:lncRNA from 1 species
GAACGGCCCUCGCCUCUCGCACGAGAACCAAGAUAGUAGCGAAAACGUACGCCCCCACCGCCGGCAGACAAAAUCGGAAGGAAAAGUUCCCCACGGUUCUAGGCCAAAUCUCCAGUCCAGUCACCACCUCCUUCCCCGAUCUGCCCCCACCCUCUCCCACGACCAACCUAGCGCCGCCUCCCUGUCCACCGGAGACGCUGCCCUCUCCGGCAACGAUCCGGCGCCUCCAUCCACCGCACGGCCCCCUCUCCGCGACAACCGUCUCUCAUCUAUGAAUCCCCCCUCUCCCAAACCCUAAUUAAACUUUGUCUACUUCGAGAUCUAUAUCUAUCCACCCUUGUUUUUGUUGUUCAAAUUUAUUUUUCUUGGAAUCUGCAGAGUUUUUUCUUGCCUUGAAUUGAGGAGAGGAGAUAUCAAAUAGCGAGGAUCACCAGUUCGAGUCCAAGGCUGACUCUGUCGCCUCCAUCAGGAUUUUUAAAAAAUUUUCCCUGCGAAUUGUCGUAAUCUUGGAUGAACGUGUGAGUCUGCAUCACGAUUGUGUGUAUAUAUACAUUUGUUACCGGCCAUGCCAUCUAUACAUACCAAAACAGCAUGACUUAUUAUUGUAUGGAUUAGUUCAGCUACAUAAUUCAGGCUGUGGCCGGUCUAGGACUAGGUACUCUUUUUGUUCAUGCAUCAACUGGUCGAAUCCAGCAUGCCAUCAACAUAGAUUGUGAUUUUGUCCUUUUGACUGAUACCAUUGUUUUUAAGUCCCAUAACCAAACUUCAGUUCUAGAUCCAAACCGAGCAGUUGAAUUAGUACUAAUCAUGGAGGUACCAGCGGUUAGUUAACAUUCAUGGUAACGAUUUUUUAUGUGUUUACUUCGAACCUGCAUCUGGUUUUGUUCUAUAGCGCCUUUAUCUAAGAUUAAUUGUGUUAUGGGUUACAGGGAAAAAAGCUAGCAUGUGAACUUUAGUUGCUUUUAUAUGGCCAUGAAAUAGUGGUGCAUGCCCUCUCCUACCUGCCUUUUUAUUUUCAUUUUCAUUUUCAUUUUCAUUUGUUUGUAGUGCACAGUCGAACAACUAUAUAUGCCAACUACUAACAUAUGAUCUUCUUUACAUGGUAUGUGAGUAUGAAGCCAAAAAAAGGUGUUAGUCCCAAGAGCCCUCCGAAUUCUCUCCAAAGUACAAAGUGUACUGCAUUGGAAACACAAAAAAUACAUCAUAUACAUGUUCUAGG